rnacentral:rRNA from 1 species
UACGAAGGGGGCUAGCGUUGCUCGGAAUCACUGGGCGUAAAGCGCACGUAGGCGGCUUUUUAAGUCAGGGGUGAAAUCCUGGAGCUCAACUCCAGAACUGCCUUUGAUACUGGGAAGCUCGAGUCCGGGAGAGGUGAGUGGAACUCCGAGUGUAGAGGUGAAAUUCGUAGAUAUUCGGAAGAACACCAGUGGCGAAGGCGGCAUCCUGGACCGGCAUUGACGCUGAGGAGCGAAAGCCAGGGGAGCAAACGGG